rnacentral:lncRNA from 1 species
CAUCAAGAGUAUUGAGAUCAAACCACCUCCAAAACCCAAGGAGACUGAGAAGAAACCCGAAAAGGCUAACGAACCGGAGAAGAAAAAACCUGAACCUGAAAAGCCUAAAGAACCCGAGAAGAAAUCUGAAAAGCCCAAGGAGCCUGAGAAGAAACCUGAAAAGCCUAAAGAACCUGAAAAGAAACCUGAGAAGCCGAAAGAGCCCGAAAAGAAGCCAGAGAAACCAAAAGAACAGGAAAAAUCACCGCCAAUGGCCUAUCCGCCGAUUGGAUUUUGUUGCACGGAUUGUUAUCAUGGACAUGGUGGAGGCCCUUGCCACUUUGGUGGACCACCCCCACGCCCAUGUUAUGUGACCUAUGGUAGGCCGGUUUGUGAUAGCUGGGGCUGCCGCGGCGCCGGCUACAGUUACUGUUUUACCGAAGAAAACCCGCAAGGUUGCUCAACCAUGUAACGUGAUACAUGUUAAUGAGCGCAUCGUCAAUUCAUGACAUCACUGAUAAUCAUCUUCUAGUUGUCUCCGUUGAAUAUUCAGUCACUUUUAAUUGCAUGUGAAUUUGUUUUUUUUUUUUUUGUUUGAGUAUAUAAAGGUUUUUACAGCUCGUACGAAAAAGAUUAAUAAAGGUUGGUGGUGGAAUUGGUGGAGUCUUUAAUAAUUAAUAAAAAAAAAGUUAAAAGUCUCUAUUGUAUAGAUGAUUUGCUUUUUCCAUGGUGCGUUUCCUUUCGCCUUCUGUUUUUCUUUUGUGUAUUAGUAUCUUAGUCAAUGUCUUGCUGUUAAAGUAUUGCAAAGAAAUCCAGAUCCAGGGUCAUGGAAUUUGAUAACUACUUCGUCGUUAAACCCCAAGUCAUCUAGAAACUUUAGCUUCGUGUCUUGGCAUGCGACUUAAUGCCUCCAUAUAUGCCUCAAACAAUAUAUGCUUUAAUGUAAUUACAACACCACCCGUUAUGAGUUAACUUGUGGAAUCAAGAUCAACAUCAACAUACGUAUUUAAUCCAAUGUCUUUGUAACUUUAACUGAUGUAUAUAAUUGUGAAUAUCUAUUAUAUUAUAGGAUUAAUAUUUAAUAUAUUAUUUUUAUACACUGUUAGUAAAUAAUAUAAAAAUAUUUUAUUAAUAAAUAAAAUUUUUAAAUUUCAAAUUUUUAAAAAUAAAUAUUAAUAAAUUUAUUUAAAACUAAUUAAUUAAAAUUAAAAAUUUUCUCUUUUUUGUCACCUCCUCUGUAUUUGCAGAAUAUUUUCUUUUCUACUCUUUCUCUGUCUCUGUUCGAGGGCACAGGCACACAGACAGGUUGGUUGAACUCUAUUCUCUUUCAAUUGAAAAGAUUCCGUUCUCAUCCGUCUACUUCGUUUCGGAGCCUAUUCCAAGUCUUGCAAUUCGCAUUCAUUUCCAUUGGGGAGUUCCCUCUGGUGCUCAUUACAUUUAAUUCGGAACACCGUCGGCUUUGCGUCCUUACUUGCCCUGCCAACAAUCACCUUUGAAAAAUUGGGUUCUAUCCAGCCAUAGGUGCUUGCUUUAUAGCCUAUUUGUAGUUGUAGACCCGAAAUUGACUAACGAAGGACUGUCGAAGGCGAGGCAAAAGGCACUUUUGCACUCUGAUCUAGUUUUCUUUUGAAUAUCACAGGCAGCUGGUAAAGCCAUCUUUGAUCGUCGCGUAUUUCGAGUUGGAAAGAUAAGAAGAGCUUGAUCGAUCCAUUCUGAAAGAAAGAAGCACAGUGGGUUAAUUAAUUAAAAUUAAAAAAUUUUUUAUCACCUCUUUUUGUAUUCACCGUCUUCUUCUUUUAAUUUUUUAAUUUUUAAUUUAAUUUCUUAUUUUCCUCUCAUGAUUUUAUUUUAUCAUUUUCGAAUUUAUAGAAAGAUACAUAUCUCAUAUUUAUAUUAAUAUUUAUUUUUAAAAAUUUAAAAUUUAAAAUUUAAUUUAUUAAUAAAAUAUUAUUAUAUUAUUCAUUAACGAUGUAUAAAAAUAAUAUAUUAUCUAUAUAUAAAAUAUUAAUCUUAUAAUAUAUACUAUACUGUUGUAAAAUUAUAUUUUAAUUAAAAAAAUAAAGACAAAAAAAGAGAGACAAAAGCUUCCAAAAUUUCAAUCCAAUAUCUUCUUCUGUUUUCAAGAUCCACUCGCUGUUACUGAAGAACCAAACGAAAUGAAGUUUCAGUGUUGUCGUCAUCCGGCUAAAAUCUAAGAUCUCAUCCUUGCUGUAAUUUAUGAACGAGUCGUGUCAAACUCGUCUCUGACGGUUGCCGCAAAUUAUUAAGCAUACGGAUGCGCCUUAUAAAUUUUCACAAGUCAAUCAAAAUCAACUCAACAUCCAAACCUAACCACAUAUAUGAUCAUCCAUUGCUUGACAUGAAAAAGCCAAACCAAUUACAAAACAACGUACCACCCAGAAGAAAAGUAUCUAAACGCCAAACUUUCACAUCAAAUGAAAGUAAUGUUAAUUAGUAAUGAGAGAGAAUGACAAUAUAUGCUUAAGCUCUCAAAAUUAAAGCUUAAUUAAUGUCAUUAUUGAUCCCCUCCCGGAUUCCACAGAUUAGUUGCAUCAUCCUGAAUCAUGUGAAUAUGAGCUAUACCUAACGAAAUCCUCCUUAUCAUUUGAAAUUCUAUUUCUACGGCAAACUCCAUGGGUUUUCUACAUAUUGGGUGUUAGUGCACGAAACUACACUCCCUAGUCUUAAUUUUUAAGGUUCUUGAGGGAGUUCUUCACCCAUCUUGCCCUUUGGUCUGUUUCACUUUGUAAUUGUAAUUCUUCAUUUGAUCUCUUGCUUUGCUUCUUUCUUUUCAGUUCAGAUCUGGGGUUUUCUAGUCCUAGCAAUGGCGAAGGUUUCUAACCACAUAUCUCUUUUCUCUAUAGUUUCGUUCAAUACUAAACAUCUAACACCCAAUUCUUCCUUUUUUUUUUAUUGUUUUUCUCCUUGUCCAUGUUUACCUGUAUUGUAUAUUUUUAUAAAAAGUUGAUGUUAUUUUUCGAUUUUAUGGUUCUUUCUUAUCUGUGCUCUUCAAUAGCUCAUCUGCCCAUUCUUCCAUGUCAGAGCCUGAGUCUUGUAUUUCCCUUUCCCUUGUCUGUAAAGCAUAAAAAUGCCUUGUUUGCUAAUGGUGAUAUAUGGAAUUAAUUACGUCGAUCUCUUUCAUCAUACAUACUUAAUUACUUGUAGCAUUAUAUUUUUACUUUUUGUUUUAUCCUCAAAUAAGAAACCCACCCUGAUGUGUGUACGGAUGUAGGUGACGACAAUGGUGCUGAAGGUCGACCUUCAGUGCUGUCGCUGCUACAAGAAGGUCAAGAAAGUACUCUGUAAAUUCCCUCGUGAGUUUCUGUCUUGGUUUUUAUGCUUAAUUCUCUUUGUAUAUCUGCAUAUGUACAUAAUUAUUUUAUUUAUAUAAAUAAAUCGUAUUUGUCAUUUUAUCUCUAUAUAGUUAGUACUGAAAUGGAACAUAGUUAGUUAGUUAGUUAGUUAGGUGAUCAUUGAGCUCAAGGAGAGAAAUGGUCUGAGUUGAUAUUUGAUGAUGGCUUUUGUGAACAAAAGAAAUAUGAGACCAGAUAUACGACGAGAAGGCCAACAUGGUGACAAUCACAGUGGUAUGCUGCUGUCCAGAGAAGAUCAGGGACAAGAUAUGCUGCAAGGGUGGCGGAUCCAUCAAGAGUAUUGAGAUCAAACCACCUCACCAUCUCCAAAACCCAAGGAGCCUGAGAAGAAACCUGAAAAGCCUAAAGAACCCGAGAAGAAACCUGAAAAGCCCGAGGAGCCUGAGAAGAAACCUGAAAAGCCUAAAGAACCUGAAAAGAAACCUGAGAAGCCUAAAGAGCCCGAAAAGAAGCCAGAGAAACCAAAAGUACCGGAAAAAUCACCGCCAAUGCACUAUCCGCCGAUUGGAUUUUGUUGCACGGAUUGUUAUCAUGGACAUGGUGGGGGCCCUUGCUACUUUGGUGGACCACCCCCGCGCCCAUGUUAUUUGACCUAUGGUAGGCCUGUUUAUGAUAGCUGGACUGCCACGGCGGCGGCUACACUUACUGUUUUACCGAGGAAAACCCACAAGGUUGCUCAACCAUAACGUGAUACAUGUUACCGAGGGCAUCGUCAAUUCAUGACAUCACUGAUAAUCAUCUUCUAGUUGUCUCCGAUGACUAUUCAGUCACUUUUAAUUGCAUGUGAAUUUUUUUUUGUUAGUAUAUAAAAGUUUUUACAGCUCGUGGGAAAAAGAUUAAUAAGGGUUGGUGUUGGAAUUGGUGGAAUCUUUAAUAAUUGAUAAAAAAAGAUUGGCUUUUUCCAUGGUGCGUUCCCUUUCACCUACUGUUUUUCUUUUGUGUUUUAGUAUCUUAGACAAUGUCUUGCUGUUAAAGUAUUGCAAAGAAAUCCAGAUCCAGGGUCAUGGAAUUUCAUAACUACUUCGUCGUUAAGCCGCAAGUCAUCUAGAAACUUUAGCUUCAUGUCAUGGCAUGGGACGUAAUGCCUUCAUAUAUGCCUCAAACAAUAUAUGCUUUAAUGUAAUUACAACACCACCCGCUAUGAGUUAACUUGUGGAAUCAAGAUCAAGAUCAACAUACUUAUUUAAUCUAAUGUGUUUGUAACUUUAACUGACGUAUAUAAGUGUGAAUAUAUAUUAUAAUAUAUACUAUACUGUUGUAAAUCUAUAUUUUAAUUAAAAAAAACAAAGAAAAAAAAAGAGAGACAAAAGCUUCCAAAUUUCAAUCCAGUAUCUUCUUCUGUUUUCAAGAUCCACUCGCCGUUUCUGAACAACUAAACGAAUGGAAGUUUAAGUGUAAUCGUCAUCCGGCUAAAAUCUAAGAUCUCAUGUAUACAUUCAAUAUCCUGGCUGUAAAAUAUGAACGAGUCAUUUCAAAGUCGUCUCUGACGGUUGCCGCAUAUUAUUAAGCAUACGGAUGCGCCUUAUAAAUGUAAAAUAUGAACGAGUCAUGUCAAAGUCGUCUCUGACAGUUGCUGCAAAUUAUUAAGCAUACGGAUGCGCCGCGUAAAUGUUCACAUGCCAAGCAAAAGCAACUCAACAUCCAAGCUGUAACCACAUAUAUGAUCAUCCAUUGCUUGACAUGAAAAAGCCAAACCAAUUACAAAACAACGUACCACUCAGAAGGGAAGUACCCCAAACUUUCACAUCAAAUGCAAGUAAUGUUAAUUAGUAAUGAGAGAGAAUGACAAUAUAUGCUUAAGCUCUCAAAAUUAAAGCUUAAUUAAUUUCAUUAUUUAUCCCCUCCCGGAUUCCUCAGAUUACUUGCACCAUCCUGAUCAUGUGAUAUUGAGGCUAUUACGUAACGAAAUCCUCACUGAUCAUUUUUGAAUCUAUUUCUAAACGGCAUAACUCUUACGUGUUUCUCUACUUUAUUGGGUGUUUAGUGCACGACAGUACAACUCCCUAGGCUUAAUUUUUGAGGCUCUUGAGUGGAGUCCUUCACCCCAUUCGUGCCCUUUGGUCUGUUUCACUUUGUAAUAUAGUUCUUCAUUUGUAUCUCUUGCUUUGUUUCUUUCUUUUUCAGUUCAAGAUUCUCGGGAUUUUCGAGGUCUAGCUUGGCGGAGAAGGUUUCUACCCAUAUCUCUUUCCUCAUUAGUUUCUUUCAGAUGCUUAACAGCUAACACCCAUUUCUUUCUUCUUUUUUUUUUCUUUGUCUACUGGUCCAUGUUUCCCCGUAUUGAAUAUUUUUUGUAAAAAAGUAUUUUAUUUUUCGAUUUUGUGGUUCUUUCUUUUCUGUGCUCUUCAAUAGCUCAUCUGCCCAUUCUUCCAUGUCAGAACCUGAGUAUUGUAUUUCCCUUUCCCUUGUCUGUAAAGCAGAAAAAUGCUUUGUUUGCGAAUGGUGAUAUAUGGAAUUUUUUACUACGAUCUCUUUCAUCAUACAUACUUAAUUACUUGUAGUAUUAUAUUUUUACUUUUUGUUUUAUCCUCAAAUAAGAAACCCGCCCUGAUGUGUGUACGGAUGUAGGUGACGACAAUGGUACUGAAGGUCGACCUGCAUUGCCGCCGCUGCUACAAGAAGGUCAAGAAAAUACUCUGUAAAUUCCCUCGUGAGUUUUUAUCUUGAAUUUUUAUGCUUAAUUCUCUUUGUAUAUCUGCAUAUGUGCAUAAUUAUUUUAUUUAUAUAAAUAAAUCUUAUUUGUCAUUUUAUCUAUAUAUUGAAUUACAACAUAGUUAGUUAGUUAGUUAUUUAGGUAAUUAAUCAUUGAGCUCAAGGCGAGAAAUGGUCUGAGUUGAUAUUUGACGAUGGCUUUUGUGAACAAGAGAAAUACGAGACCAGACAUACGACGAGAAGGCCAACACGGUGACAAUUAAGGUGGUAUGCUGCUCUCCAGAGAAGAUCAGGGACAAGAUACGCUGCAAGGGUUGCGGAUCAAUCAAGAGUAUUGAGAUCAAACCACCACCGCCACCGCCACCUCUAAAACCACCACAACGACCACCGUCACCACCACCGCCACCUAUAAAACCAGCACAACGACCACCGUCACCAUCACCACCACCGCCAAUUGUCAAUCCUGGGUUUUGUUGCACGGAUUGUUAUCAUGGACGUGGUGGGGGCCCUUGCUACAUUGGUGGACCACCACCACCACCACCACCACCACCACCACCACCACCGCUAAUUGUCUUUCCUGGGUUUUGUUGCACGGAUUGUUAUCAUGGACGUGGUGGGGGCCCUUGCUACAAUGGUGGACCACCCCCACGCCCAUGUUAUGAGUCCUGUGGUAGGCCAGUUUAUGAUAGCUGGUGCUGCCCCUGCCGUGGGUACAAUUACUGUUUUAACGAAGAAAACCAAAAGGGUUGCUCAGUCAUGUAACGUGAUACAUGCUACUCAGCCCAUCGUCAAAUCAUGACAUCACUGAUAAUCAUCUUGUAGUUGUCUCCGUUGAAAAUUCAGUCACUUUUAAUUGCAUGUGAAUUUGUUUUUUUUUUUUUUUAUAUAAAGGUUUUUACAGCUCGUAGGAAAAAGAUUAAUAAAGGUUGGUGGUGGAAUUGGUGGAAUCUUUAAUAAUUAAUAAAAAAAAAGAUUUGCUUUUUCCAUGGUGCGUUUCCUUUCACCUUCUGCUCUUCUUUUGUGUAUUAGUACCUUUGUCAAUGUCUUUCUGUUAAAGUAAUGCAAAGAAAUCCAGAUUCAGGGUCAUGGAAUUUGAUAACUACUUGGUCGUUAAGCCACAAGUCAUCUAGAAAGUUUAGCUUAAUGUCAUGGCAUGCGACGUAAUGCCUUUUUAUAUGCCUCAAACAAUAUAUGCUUUAAUGUAAUUACAACACCACCCGUUAUGAGUUAACUUGUGGAAUCAUGAUCAACAUCAACAUGGUAUUUAAUCUAAUGUCUUUUUAACAAAUUUGACUAAUGCAUAUAGAAUUGUGAAUAUAUAUAUAUAUGGUAUAAUAUUUAUACUAUGCUCUUGCAAAACAAUCAUUUUAAUUUAAAAAAAAAACCAAAAAAAAAAAAGAGAGAGAAAAAAGCUUCCAAAUUUUCAAUCCAAUAUCUUCUUCUGUUUUCAAGAUCCCCUUGCUGUAUCUGAAGAAUUAAAGAAAAUGAAGUCGUCGUCCGGCUAAAAUCUAACAUCUCAUAUAUACGUUUAAUAUCCUUGUUGUAAAAUGUGAACGAGACAUCUCAAUCCCGUCUCUUACGUUGCCCCAAAUUAAUUAAGCAUGAGGAUGCGCCUUUUCAAUAUUCGCUAGUCAAUCAAAAUAAAUGAUCAUCCAUUACUUGAUAUGAAGAAGCCAAACCAAUUACAAAACAACGUACAACCCCGAAGAUAAGCCUAUAAUUCCCAAACUUUCACGUCAUAUCAAAGUAAACGUUUCCUAGGGGUACAUUUAUCACGUGUCAAAUUGCUUUUGCGCUGGCAGACAAUCUACUUCAAACUCUUUUCCCCUUGUUUGUAAGAAAGAAACAAAAAAAAAAAAAAAAAAGAAUGGAAAACGAAAAAUCAUAAUUUAACAACAAAUAUUAUUUUAUAUCUCAAAUAUUAUAUUAAUAUUUUUCUUUACGGCGUUAUUGCUUAGCUAUUUUCAAGCGGCCAAAUUGAUUAUUAUGUGACAAGUAUAAGGGUAGCAGCAGGGGAUUUGGUUGCAUCGAAUAUAUAUAUAUAUAUAUAUAUAUAUGGGCGCAUGAUGUUAUUCUUUCCUGACGAUAACCUGCAAUGAUGCGACCACCAAACCAUUUUUCAUAUUAAGCAAUAUAUAUUAUAAUUAAAAAAAAAAGAAAGAAGAAGCGUGAUCGUUGUCGGUCCCGGAUUAAAGAAAUGCAAAGCCCUAAGACUGGUCACUGGUGGAUGAUGAUUGAAACAGAAGGGAAGGCAAAUUUCUAUGCAUCAACUUAAUUAAAUGGCACUAGAAAUUAAAGAAAUUAAGUAAUGUAGUGUGAUUUAGCAACAAGACAUGAAAUUAUUAAUGGAGAAAGUGGAUGAAGUGAUAGAGAAUAAAAUACCACAAUAUAUAUAAGGUUUUAAGAAGUCGAAUAUUGAUGGAAUCAUUAAUCAUAGGUUCCAUCAAAUAAAUAUUAAUGAAAGAUGCCAUUGCCGUCGUCGGUAACCAAUAGCUUCAAGUUGCUACUAGCUUCGCAUCUAUAACAUUAAAGUUACUUCAAAAGUGAGAUUCCUCCAUUUCAAAGACGACAUUUAAGUAAAACAUGAAAAAUGAUUAAAAGAUUAAUUAAGGUAUAAAUUAAAUUGGUUGGAAUGAUUUGAAGAAAGAACUUUUGAUAUAUAUAUAUAUAUAUAUUGUUUUGGGCAUAUUGUAAUCAUUUUUUUUUUUUGUUUUUUAUUUUGUUACUUUUCUUUUUAUUUAUUUAUAUUAUAUUAUAUUAUAUUAUAUUAUUGUUUUAAUUUAAUUUUUGUUUUACUGAUUUGCUUAUGUAUUUGUCCAUUUUUUAUUUACAUACAUAUUUAAAAUUUUAUAUUAAGAAUAUGUUUUAAUCAUUUGACAACAUAAAAAACUAAAAAUAUGUGAUAGACAAAUAAAUUUGUAAUUUUUUUAUAAUUAUUUUUAUUUAUUUGUAACGUGUAAAAUUAAAAAAUGAAAAUAAAUAAAAAACUUUCCAAUGAUGAAUUUAAAAGAAAAUUGCAAGUGGUGUUUGAAAUUUUUUAGGUGAUGAUUUUUCUUAGAAUCUUUACCAAAAGUGUUUGAAAGAUUUUAGGAGUAUUUCAAUAAAAAAAUAUUUUAUUUAUUUUUAAUAAAAUAUUUUGUAAAAAUAAAGGUUGGUAAAAUAAAACUAAACUCUUUCUAUAAAGUCUUAAAUUAAUCUGAUGGUAGUUUUUCUUCAAGAAAAUAAAUGAGUCUUUUUAGUAAUUUUAAAAUGGAUAAAUUUUCUUAAAAUUCUAUCAAAAUAUUUGAAAAGUUCUAAAAACCUUUCAAUAUUUUAAAUAAUGAAAUUUAAUUAAGAAUAAAAAAACCAUUUACAUAAGACCCUUUUAAGAUAAUAUUAAAUUAAUUUGUAUUGUCUUAGGAUGUGUCUUAUGAGGGUAUCAAUACCUUGUUCACACUUAGACUAAUCAAUAACAUAAUAUAUGAUAAAAGUUAUCUCCAAGUGGGGGAUAAUUCCCAAUCGAGUUGCCAAGUUACUUUCAAUUCGUCAAAUAGCUGUUGGUUGAUAGAAAGAUUUAAUAAGUUAUAGGGUUUAGCAGAUCAUAAGACAAUGGCCUCGAAGGGCGGCCUAACAAAAAGUUUGUAGCCCAGUGAAUCUCUUAUCUUAUUAUAAAUACACCUGCUUUUUGGUUUAUUUUAUUUAUUUAUUUAUGGGGUAACACUUUCCGGGCCGUCUUAUAAUUUUGUAUUUCUUAUUUAAAUAAGAUUUGACUUAAUCGCAACCAAUUAAAUUGAAAAUCUCAAAUUAUAAUCAUUGUGUUUACUUUCACGUAUCAUCUUAAAUUUUGUAUAUCUAUAUUUAUAUAUGAGAAAAGUUGUCUUUUCACACCUCAUCCACUCGAGACAUAACGAAAGAAUUGCAAAAACAAUGAAUUAUGAUGCACUGCUUUUUUUAUGUACAAUUUCUUUUUUCUUUUGGUAAAGGUCAAGUCGAACAAAAGUAGAUAUUUUGAUGGAAACAAUAAGAAAGCGAAUCGCAACGUGGAAUCUACAAGGUUAAAAUGGUCAAAUUAGAUAAACUAUCUAUCCAUGGCUUUUUGAUAAGGAAAAACAACAGGCCAUUCCUUUCUCUCCAUGCAAUCUGCAUCUACGCUUCUCUUCUACUGUCUCGAGCUUUGAGUGUAUAAGUUAGCCAAAGGCCAAAGCUUAAACAAAUAGAUAGAAAAAUGGCGUGUCAUCAUCUAUGCUCCUCAACUUCUUCUCUUGCCUGUGACCUUCACUCUCUCUCUGCUUCACCCAAACCAAGACCUAUAAGAAGUUCCGCUCCUUCUCUAAAGCUGCUUUCCUUCUCCUCACUAUCUAAAACCUCUAUCCAAGUAACUCAUGUCUCCUUGAAAGACCCCUUGACCAAAGAAACCGAAAAGCCUCCAAAACUCUCCUUUUCGCAGUACCCAGAUGGCAAAACCAAUACCCAUGCGUGGGUCAAUCCCAGAAGCCCCAGAGCUUCAUGCCUCAGGCAAUUGUCUUAUGAUUCCAGGUACUCUUCUCUGCUCCAAGUAGCUGAGUCUUUGGAUUCUUGCAAUCCAAAUGAACAAGAUGUUUUAACUGUUUUGACUAGUUUACGUUACGAUGUUUCGGAACGAGAUGCUGUUGUUGUUCUCAAUAACAUGUCAAACCCUCAUACCGCAUUGCUUGCUCUUAAUCAUAUUCAAAGGACACUAAGGAAACCAAGUCGAGAGGUCAUUCUUUAUAAUGUCACCAUCAAGGUUUUUAGAAAGUCUAAGGAUAUGAAUGGAGCUGAGAAACUGUUUGAUGAAAUGCUUCAAAGAGGGGUUAAGCCCGACAACGUUACCUUUUCAACGUUGAUUAGUUGUGCUAGGGUCUGUGCUUUGCCCGGUAAGGCUGUUGAGUGGUUUGAGAAAAUGCCUACAUAUGGGUGUGAUCCGCAUGACGUCACUUACUCUGCCAUGAUGGAUGCCUAUGGCCGGGCUGCAAAUGUUGAUAUGGCCUUCACCCUGUAUGACCGUGCUCGAACAGAAAAAUGGCGUAUUGAUCCUGUUACCUUUUCAACUUUGAUUAAAAUAUAUUGGAUAUCUGGAAAUUAUGAUGGCUGUUUAAAUGUUUACGGGGAAAUGAAGGCCUUAGGUGCUAAACCUAAUGUAAUUAUAUAUAAUACUUUGUUGGAUGCCAUGGGGAGAGCCAAGAGGCCUUGGCAGGCCAAGACUAUUUACAAAGAGAUGAUAACCAAUGGAUUUUCACCAAAUCGGGCAACCUAUGCGUCACUCUUACGAGCUUAUGCGAGAGCUCCAUAUGGUGAGGAUGCUCUUAAUGUAUGUAAAGCCCAAAACUGUGGGAGGCAGUAGGAAAUAUUACUAACACUUAAGGCAAUUACCAAAAAGUCAAGAAAGCCCAGCAUGUAUUCCCAACUGGAGAAUAAAAGCGGCUUAUCUAAGCCCACUCGUAAAUUAAUUUUGUCCGACCUAGCUCAUUACAUCUCUGAUUUAGCCAAUCACACUGAACCCUUUGCCCGACGCAGAUGAAGUGUAGUUCGCGUUUCAAAGCUUAGACGAACCGACGUACUUUUAUUAUUAUUAUUAUUAUUAUUUUACUAUAUUUAAAAUUUUUUUAAUUUUUUAAAAUAGAAAGUGCGAUACAUAAUAUUAUAAAAAAAUUAAACUAUAAGAGUCAAAACUUUUUUCAAGAUGCACACAAAUUGAAAAAUAAAAAAGGUGGAAUUAUUAUGUUGUUUAGUAAUGAGAGAGAAUGACAAUAUACGCUUGAGGUCCCAAAAUUAAAGCGUAAUUAAUGUCAUUAAUUAUCCCCUCCAGAAUUCCGCAGGUUACACGCAUCAUCCUGAAUCAUGUGAAUGUGAGCUAUAGAUACAUAAUAUUAUACUACACUACUUGAUUAAACAACAAAAAAUGCAUCAUCAUCAUCAUCGCUAUGUAAAUUUUUACCUUCAUGUACUUGUGAUAAUAUAUUGACAUUGAUUGUACUAAUACUAGUCAAUCGAUAGUUGCUACUUGCUAAAGGAAAUUCACGAUUCAAGUCGUGUGUUCCACCCCUGAAUUGGUGAUCGAGGGUUCUCCAUGAACAGACGGACGAAAGGACAUACUGAAAAAUGGACAUCGACAAAUGUCGACAGCUGCGAGCCAUUGGGCCUAGGGAGACGUGUACGAUUCACAUGUGAUGUUGCAUGCCCUGAACUGGUAUUACAAGUUGAGACUUAAACUUCGAAUUUGUAUGAUUUUGGGAUUUGAAUAUUCAUUAAUCUGAUGUCUUAGAUCAACUUACAUGUUACAGUUUAUAUUAUUGUGAGGUAUUAUUUACUCUGACCAUUUUGAUCUCAUGAUUUUAUCUUAUAAAAGAUACCUCAUAGAAAAAAGAUACUUAUGAUAAGCCCACAGUCUUUAAUUUGGAUUAUAUAUAUAUAUAUAUAUAUAUAUAUAUUACAAGGUAUAAAAUUACAUAAACAUAUAUAUUCUUAUAUUUUAUAAGUAUUGUCUAUAGACUUUUUUUCCCUUUCUUUUGACUAUUCACUUAAUUAGGUAAUAUUUCUUUAAUUGGUUUUUUUUUUUUCAUAUAUUAUGUAGACAUCCAAUUUAAUCCAGGCUCAGACCAAUUGGACCUGAUCUAAAUGGGGCAAGAUUGGCUCAUUUUUAUUUUUAUUUUUCUAUUUUAUUUUCAUUUGUUCAUAAUUUUAUUUUAAUUAUUAUUUUUUUCAAUAUAAUUUUUGUUCUAGAAGAAAAAUUUUUUGCCGUGAAUCUGUGGUUGGUAAACUUGAAAUUAGACUCAAAGAUUGAAUCCUAAUUACAAAAAAAAUUGGUAUUGAUCAUAAACUCUUCUUAUCAAUGCCUAUAAAUAUAGGCCAAGACACAAAAUAAAUGAAGACGCACAAAACAGAGAGCAAAAAAUAGAAGGUAGAAUUUAGAAAAAUUUUUAGAAUGUGUCAGAAGCAAUUUUAGGAUUUUUAAGAAUUUUUUUAAAUUUUUUGACAUUUUUUUUUCUGAAAAAUUUCUAAAAAAAUUUCAGAUUUCGAUGAAUUUUUUGGUGUAUUUUUCCUAGUUUUUGAUUGAAUAUUCAACCGGAUUCUAGGUUUAUAGAAAGAAGGGGAGAGAAAAGAAAAGGGAAGAGAGAGAGGAAAUAAGGGAAAUCUGAAGAAAAGAUCGAAUUUUAGCCUUUUAUACAUGCGCAAAACAACGUCGUUUUGGAGUUAAAAACACCUAGGAUCCGUGCAUUUUUCAUUCGGAUAACCAAACCUGAGUGCAACCCGUUUUGGUCGACCCACGUUCCAGCCAACCCUUCAACCGAGAUGAGUCGAGCCGCGUUUUUAAAUCGCUUUUACGAGCUGCUUUUUGUGCCUUAAGCCGAGCCGAAUUUCAGUCAAGCUGAGUCGUUCUUUGAUUUUUUUUAUUUUUUUAUAUUUAUUUUAUGUGUUUUUUUUUAGCAUUUUUUGCAUGAUUAAAUUUUUUAAAAAAUAAUAAAAAGUAAAAAAUAAAAUUUUAGAAAUAGAUAUUAAUUAUCCAAUGAUGAAAUUUAUAAAAAUUUCAAAUGAUAAAUUUUUAUAAAAUUCUUAAGUAAAAAAUUUUGUUUAAAUUUAUCCCAAAUGGUGAAAUAAUUUAGAUAAAGUUUUAAUAAUAAUAAUUAAUAUUUAUUUUCAAAAUAAAAAAAUAAAAAAUAUUGAUAAAAAUUUUAAAAUUAAGUACAAAUUACCCAAUGAUAAAAUUCUUAAAAAUUUUAAAUGAUAAAUUUUUAAGAAAUCUAUAGGUGAGAAAUUUUCUCUAAAUUUAUCCCAAAUAUUGAAAUAUUUUAGAUGAAAUUUAAUAAAAGUAAUUGUAUUUUUUUCCAAAUUUGGUUGAAAAUAUUUGAUAAUUAUCUAAUCAUGAGAUUCUUAAAAAUUUCAAAUGGUAAAUGUAGACACCCAAAUUGGUCCAGGCCCGGAUCAAUUGGGCCUAGCCCAAAUAGGUAGGUGUAGACACCCAAUUUGAUCGAGGCCCGGAUCAAUUGAGCUUGGUCCAAAUGGGUAGGUUCAAUUUUAUCUUUGUCAUUUUUAUUUUUAUUUUUAUUUUAUUUUAUAUUUUAUGUAUAUCCUAUGUAUUUUAUUAUUUAUGUAUUAUUACUAAUAUAUAUUUAUAUAUAUUUAUUAUUUUUUAUCUUUUAUUUUAUUUAUUUUUGUAUUUUUAUUUAUCUAAUUAUAUAUCUGAUAUUAUUUUUUUUAUUUAUCCUAUAAUGAUUUUUUAUUUUUCUUUUCUAAUUAUCUAGUUUUUUUUAUUUUAUUUUUGGAGGGCUGAGAUUGAAGGGUGAAGAAUCCUACUGGGAAUGAGGAUUCAAUCAAAAGAGUCCAAUUGGACUCAAAGAUUGAAUCCCCGUCCAAGGAGGAAUUGCGAUUGAUCAGGAACUCUUGAUCAAUCCCUAUAAAAGGGACCUCUUAGAACAGAUGCUGGACACAGAGAAAACAGUGAGCAAAGCUACUAAAUAUGAGAGAAAAGAGGUGUAUAGAAGAGUUUUUGAAGGCUAAAGAAGGUUGAGAAGAGUUAGGAUAGCUGUAGGGAUCGAAAAUAAUUUUUUAGAAAUUUUUGGCGAAAAAUUUUUCUGGAAAUUUCUGAGAAAUUUCCAGAUUCUGGCGAAAAUUUCGGUAACAUUUGAAUUUUUCGGCAACAAUUCCGACGAACCUUGAUGUUUUUGGUGACCUACCCAGUUCCCAGCGAACAAUCCCAGAAACCGGUGAUCUUCCAGCAAACUUUCGAUGAACCUCCGGUGAAUUUUUCAGAUUCCGGUGACUUUUUCCAGAAUCCGGCAAAAAUUCGACCGGUGUUCUUCAGGCCCUUUAGAGAGAGGGGAGAGGAAAAAGAAAGAAGAGAGAGAGAGGGAAAGAGCGUUCUGCCGAAAAACAAAGGGAAGUGCCUUUUAUACUUUCUCAAAACGACGUCGUUUUAGCCUUAAGUAAUCAGACGAUACGCGCGUUUUGCCGAAACCCGACCCAACCGGAGCAUCAACCCGCGCGUGCCUGCCCCCCUCCAAGCCAAGCCGAGCCGAGCCGAGCUUCCCAAGCAGCCCUUCGAGCCGUUUUCUCUUCCUUGAGCAGAGCCGAGCCGCUAUCCGAGCCGCUCCAAGUUUUUUUUUUUUUGAAUUUUUUUUGAAUUUUCAUUUAUUUGUUUAUUUUUUUUUCUAUUUUUUAUUUAUUAGAUUAGAUUUAUUUAAUAUUUUUUAUCUUUAUCUUAUUUUUAUUUUUGUUUCACUUUUCUUUAUUUUAUUUUCUUCUUUAUUUACUUUUACUUUUAUUUUGUUUUAUAUUCUUUAAAUAAAAAUAAAAAAAUAUAUUUUUAAGGAAAAGUUGAAAGUAUCAAUUUUUCUUGGAAAUCAAAGUUUCAAAAAAAAAUAUCUUUGAGGAAAAGUUGAAAGUAUCAAUUCUCCUUAGAAAUAAAUUUCAAAAAAAUAUUUUUGGGGAAAAGUUGAAAGUAUCAAUUUUCCUUAGAAAUAAAUUUCAAAAAAAUAUUUUUGGGGAAAAGUUGAAAGUAUCAAUUUUCCUUAAAAAAUAAAUUUCAAAAAAAUAAUUUUUGGAAAAAAGUUGAAAGUAUCAAUUUUUCCUACACAAGAACAAAUAUCAUUUCCUUCCUUUCUAUUUUGAUUUUGAUUUUGAUUUUUUCUUAAUUAAUCCGACGACGGAACCUAUGCAAGUGAAACAGUAGUUUUUCUUGCAUACUCUUAAGGUGAGAGAAUUUUCUCAAUUUUCUGCUAAAAGUAUUAGAGUCAAUUGAGAAUAAUUUUCAAUAAUUAAUUACUUGAUAAAAUUUUAAGGCUUAUUGGAUAACACAAAAUUAUGCUGCUACCAUCUUUUGAUGGGCGUUGUGAGGGUGCUAUAACCUUUCUCAUACGUAACCGAACUCCCGAACCCUGUUCUGGUUAGCAGACCCGAACCUAUUCUUUUAGGGACCCUUAAGCUUAAGUGUUCCCUAAAAUGACAGAUUCUUAAGGUGGCCAAUCGCACCUAAAUAAAAAAGAUUGGUGGCGACUCCCUAAAGUCAAUGUCUAACGAUAGAUCCUCGGAUUUAGACGUUAUAACAGCUUGGCGACUCCACUGAAGAAUUUGAGAGUCAGGCCAUCAAAUAAUUUGUGUUAUCUAAAAGCCUAAUAAAAUUGAACCUUUUUGUAUAUAUGUAUUAUUGUUCAUUCACGUUUAUUUACUUUAUUGAUUAUGUCAUUCAUGUGCAUGUGCAUAACAUGAGCUCUAUACCCGAGCUCCGUCCUUCUAGGAGGGAGUAAAGUUUCUAUUGCUUUCGUGAGGUCUAAUGCCUCCGUAGUGGCUAGCGAAAUACUCCCACUCAAAUUGAACAUUUUUCGCUUGUAGCCUGUAAUAGGUGAAGAUUAGGGUGCCUUACUAGUCUGUGAUGGACAAGGAUGUAAGGAACAAUUUGAGGACCUUUAGACUUUGACCCUUAAAACCACAUAUAGUGAACCUUAAGAGUGCCUAACCCAUAGAUAGAGCCAUCACUCUUCCCUGAUAGAAUUAACCAAAAGCAUAUGAUUCAUCCCUUUUACUUUGUGUGGUGUUUAAAUUUAUUUAGUUAUUUAUUCUUUUUCUGGGUAUACUAACCUUUUUUUUUCUUUUUGCAUUGGUUCAUGCGCAUAUCAUAAAGUUGCAUAAAGAACAUUUGCCUGAAAAACGGUCUUCAACAAAAUUUUUUUUUCAUGGACACCAAUGAACGCUUAGUUUGCUCUUCAUCAGUAUUAGCACCCUGUGGGACACCUAAUGAAGUAAGGGCCCUGUCAGAAAAGACUCAACUGAAGAUGGGAGAUUGCUUGCCAAUUAGGUAUGAGUCUACUCUGUCUCAAGAAACAUUUAUCCUCCUCAAACAGAACAGUUUAAAAGAUUUGGUUAACAUUUGGAAGAAGAUGAGUCCGUCAAGACAAGAGCAGUUUUGUCAGAAACAUGGGCAUAUAGCACACCUUCUAGCAGUGGCUAUUGAUGAUCAACUAAUCAGAGCUGCAACAUAAUUCUAGGAUCCUGUAUAUAAAUGUUUCAUCUUCAACGAAGUUGAUAUGACUCCCACCAUUGAAGAAUAUUCAAUCUUGGUAGGUUUGCAUCUUAAGACUCCUGACAAGAUAUAUGUCAAAAAGCAUAAGUCAAGAUUUCGUAAAAGUCUACCUCAACUCAUGAGGAUAGACAAGGAAGUUAUGGAUUCUCAUACAAAGAAGAAACAGGAACAGGUUUGCCUACCUUGAAAGUUCUUUCAUGAGUUUCUGAUGUAACAUGCCAAUGAAAAACGGGGGUUAGACAUAUUUGCCUUGGCUAUAUACGGACUGGUGAUCUUCCCAAAAAUUUUAGGACAUAUUGAGAUAGCGGUGGUUGAUUUCUUUGAAAGUGUGAUCAAUGACUGUAAUCUUUCAACGGUAAUAUUAGCAGAGACUAUCAGAUCUUUGAAUUAUUGUUAUCGAAAUAGAGGGCACUUCAUAGGAUACAUACAGCUAUUGUACGUAUGGAUGAAAAGCCAUUUUGAACAAGGAAAUGGUGCUUUCUCGAAGAUUUAAAUUCGUAAUCAUUUUCCAAUCAAGGAAUUCUGUGAAAGUGGAUGGUCAAAACGAAAGCCUAAACAAGAAUGGAUAAUUUUCUUACAAAAAUUAGAAAGUGCCAGGAUAAGAUGGUUAGCCCCAUGGAUGAAUUGAGAGCCUAUGUUAUACCAAUGUGGGGAUAGUACAGUGGUUCCACUUCUGGGUUUAUGGGGAGUGACGAAUUAUGCACCACUCCUAGUGAGAAGGUAAUUGGGAAGAGAACAGUUCAUUCCUAUGACUUAUGGGCUUCAUCAGUUGGAUUUCCCUUACAAUGAGCCUAAAGCAUUUCAGAGGAUGAAUGAGAUGAUCAAAGCAUGGAAAAAUCCCCAAAGAGUGAGUCCUGGACCAUUCACUGAAAAAGUCACCCCAGGUUACUUGGUUUGGAGAACAAAGAGAAGAUAAAAAAUGGCAUUCACUUAUGAAAUCUCUCAACCACCAACAGAAGAAAAACUUGAAGAGACACCAUCAGAGUUAGAGCUGGCAACAAAAGAAUUUGAGUUUAAAAAGAUCAAGUUAAAGAAAGAGAUUCAAGAACUUCAAGAAGAAAAAGCCCAGUGGAAAGGUGGAGCCGAAAAUUAUGAAGUUAAAGUUCAUAAGAUUGCUAGAGAACGAGAUACAGCUACAGAAGAUCUAGCAAGGUUACACCAGGAGCAUAAGAGGCUAUGUAUGAGAAAAAGAGCCAAAGAGAUAACCAUCGCCGAGCUGACUGAGGAAAAUACAAGACUAAGACAAGAGUAUACCAAAUUGGAAGAAAAAAGUACCGAAGCACAUGCAAAAAUUAACAUGCUAAACAGUUAUUUGAGCUUGCUAAGUCAAAAGUUGGAUAAACAAGGAGACCACAUUACUGCAUUGGUUAGAGAACAUAGAGAAUUAUCAUACCAAGUCUGGUGUGGUAAAAGAGAGAACCUAUGGAGGCAAAAAUACAUUGAGCACUUAACAACCCCAAUUCAUAAAGGGAUGUGUAAGGUAAGAGAGAUGGUGGAAGAGGCAGAGGCAUUAAGACAAGUGGUGGCCCCAGUAGGAGAACAUGGACAACGUCUCUUGAACUUCAUAGAAGAAGCCAAGGCCCAGUAUGAACAGAUCAAAUAAUUUUAUGGUUAUAAUUCUAGGAUGAUAAACUCAAUGUAGAUCAAAAUUUUUUGGUAUAAAUGAAUUUUUUUUUUUAGUUGAAUACUGUUUUAAAGUAAAUGUUCUUUGCAUACAUGCAUUUUUCAUUCAUUGCAUUCUCAUUCAUUACACUUAACAAAAUAACCAUGUGAUGAUCAUGUAAAUUUACUAAUUCUAAGAUAUGGUACUCAAGGAUAGCUCCAUCUAACGAAAACCCUGCUCAUCCAUAAAACACAAGAUUCAGAGCAAGGCAAAUGGAGGAAAAAAGUUUCCAUAGAUUUGAAAAACUAGAAAAAGCACAAAAAAAGAUUGAAAGUGAGCUGAGUAAGAUUCUGGAGGCUCUUAAUAACAUGAAUAAAGGAAAAGGAGUUGAAAAAAGUACAAGCCAGCAAAUUCCCCCAUUACAAGAAGUAGCUGAUCCCUUGUACCCUCCAGGUUUUGGCCUACCUCAAGCCCAGUCUGUCCAAGAGGUCCCACCACAAUAUUUUGCAUAUCCAAUAUGUCCUGGAAUGCCAUCAGCUUUCAACCCAGGGCAAUAUAAUAGCUAUAUAAAUCCUGUCUUCACUGAAAAGGUAACAGAACCAAUUCUUGAUCUAGAUGAUGUAAAAGAGAAGGAGAAAAAAAAGAUAAGGGUGAAAGCUGAAGAAAGCUCUAAAAUUAGCAUGCUAGAGCAGAGGCUACGGCUGUGGAAGGAUUUAGCUUUUAUGGUUCAGUUGAUGCUGCUGGGCUCUGUCUAGUUCCUGAUGUGGUUAUCCCCCAUAAGUUCAAAGUACCGAAAUUUGAAAAAUAUGACGGUACAAAAUGCCCCAAAACCCACAUCACCAUGUAUUGCAGGAAGAUGGCAGCUCAUGCUCAUGAUGAAAAACUCUUGAUGCAUGUUUUUCAAGAUAGCCUUACUGGCUCUGCGAUCAGGUGCUAUGUUCUGUUGGAUAGGACCCACAUUCGUUCUUCGAACGAUAUGGCUCAUGACUUCAUCAGUAAAUAUCGACACAUUAUCGAUUUGGCUCCAUAUCGUUUGUCUUUACAGAAUCUAGAGAAAAAGGCAAAUGAGUCUUUUAAAGAAUACGCCCAGAGAUGGAGAGAUAUAGCUUCAUAGGUACAACCUUCACUGACAGAAAAAGAGACCACAGUGCUAUUUGUCAGUACUUUGAAACUUUCCUAUUAUGAAAAAAUGAUAGGGAAUGCAACAAAGAAUUUUACUGAUAUGGUGAUUUGUGGAGAAAUUAUUGAAAGUGCCAUAAAAAAUGGCAAGUUGAAAGGAAGAGAAACCAAGAAGGCAUUAGAAAAGAAAGAAGCUAGAGCUCAAGCUAUGAGCUUUGAUAGACAACAAUUCAUGGGUUAUCAACCCUAUCCAUCCCAAGGUUACUCUCUAUACUAUCUUUCUGUGAAUAAUGCCUCAUCCUACCCAUACCAGCUAGCUUCACAACCACCUUAUUCAUCCACAUACCGAUCAAUUUAUAGCCCUCAAGAUCUUACAUAUAGCCUUAACAUUCAAGCUCCUGUAAAAACCCAAAUUCGCCCUAUUAACCCAGUAAGUGGUUCACGAGAACAAUGAACUACUCGAGAAAAACUUGUAUUUGAUCCAAUCCCUAUGACUUAUAUAAAGUUAUAUCGAGAACUCUAUAAUAGCCAUUUGAUUACCCCCAGCCAUGUGGAGCUGCUUAAACCACCUACCCAAAGUGAUAUGAUCUUACAGUCCACUGUGACUAUCACUAUAGAAUUACUGGCCAUUCUACUAAAAAUUACUCUGCUUUAAAGUAUAAGGUGCAACGGUUGAUCAAUGAUGAAAUAGUAAGUUUUGAUAAAAAAAAAGCAACAACAUCUAAUGUUAGCGCUCUGAGUGAAAGUCAAGAACAGAAAGGGGCUGGAGAGUCACAAUGAAUUGAGAGGCAAGAUGUCAAUAGAGAUUCUUCACCUGAUCGCAUAAGGGGACAAUUUUAAAAAAUGGAGAUAAGGCUGGUUGAAAGUUUUCUUCUGUUAUUUUAAGAUUUUUUUUCAAAUAAUGUUAGAUUUCUUUUUGCAAUAUGACUUCACUUAUUAUCAUUUUAAUAAAAGCAAGUCAAUGCAUUUUAUUACAUUUUUUUCUUUCACUUGACCAUUACUCCAUGCUUCGUUACCUUUCAUAACUUUACAUUCCCAUUCUUAAAUUUCAGAUGAUGAAUAUUUAGAUAAUGAUAACAAUAAUUCUGGGAUUUAAUUCUGAGAACUCAUCCAUGUUAAUAUGAGAAGAUGAUUUGAGCAAAAAUAGGCUGUUACCGGAGGUGAAAUAGAUAUAUCUUGAAGAUGUGUAAUCUUUUAUACAGAUUCAUGAGCUUUGAUGAUGUUCAAGAAAGGUAUUCACAAUUGAGAUGAAAAAUGGCCAUCUUUCUUUUACCAUUUGAAAAACCAUUUAUUGCUACCCUUUUGAGCCUGUUAUGAUUUCUUUUUUUGAACCCUAACCAAGGAUCACCCUCUACACUGGGGGGUAAUUUUUGAAAAAAAAAAUUUCAUAAAAGGUCUCAAAAAUGAAAAAAAAGAAAAGAAAAAGAAAAAAUAAAUGCCACACAUGACUUGGGGCAAAGUAAUGAGAAUCUUUUAUGUGAGAAAACAAAAAAGUAGUGAAAUGAUGUAGGGGUAAAAUGCCAAGCUGCAUCAAAUGAUCCUUCGAUUUUGAACCUUUUUAAUACAUGUUUUGAGCCUAUUAUAUCAAUUUUUUUUUAUGACCCUUCACCUUGGCCUACAUUACAACCUUAAAAAGUCCAUUUGAAUCAAGUGUGAAUACUCAACUUGAAUUAUCAUAUGGUGAGCGAAGGCAUGCUCAUGAUGAAGCAAUGGAAUCAUGCUACAUUACUCUAAAAGUUUGAUGUAUGAAAGAUGUGAACAAUAGGUGAAGAAUGAGAAAAAAAAAGAAGAUGAUGAAAAAAAAAGAAAAAAAAGAAAAAAAAAUAAAGAAAGAAGAAAAAAUGAAAAAAAUAAAAAAAUAAAAAAAAGAUUCAAAUUGAAAACCUGAAAGGUUGGUACAAAAAGAUCCAGGUAAAAUGGCUCACAUGAAUGGAAGAUCAAAGACAUCUGAAGAUCCCUUAAAGACUGGGGUAAAGCUUACCAAGCUCAAGUUGACUUCAACAAUAAAUGGAAUGAGUUUUUGAAAAAGAAUCCUAGAUUAAUGUUGAGAAUUGUCUGAAUAUUCAUCAUUCGGACAUACCAUCCGUCUCAAUGACAUUUCUAUUCCCAUUUGUUCUGUACCAAAAUAGAUCUUUAUGAUUAUCUUUACCAUAGUUCACUUUCUGUCCUCUUAUUGUUACACCCUUAGAAUGAAUUGAGAAAAUGCUUGAUUGCAUUGUAUUUGUCAAAAUUUGAAAUGAUAAUGAAUGAAUGAAUAUGUGCUUAAAAGAAUCUUACAUUCAUUUGGAAAGAAAUCUAAGAUGAUGAAAAAAUAGUAGAAACCUAAAAGAGAUGAUUUGAAAAGGUAUAUGAUAUAAUGCGGCAAAUCUUAAAAAGUGAUGAAUUGAUCGAUAUGACUUGCAAGUUAUGAUUGAAUGAUGAAGACAAUCAGUAGACAGAGUUUGUUUUGGAAUGGUUAAUGCUGGGACAUCUAUGAGUAAUGACCCAGUGAUGAUGGAUGAAACUUGUUUUGAAAUUUGUUAGUGCUGAGAAAUUCAUUGAAUGAUGGUCAAGUGAUGAUCGAUUGAUGAAGCUUAUUCCAAAGUAUCGAGAAACUGAACAAAGAAGAAUGUGAGUGGAAAAGACAAUUGAGAGCUACACUGGCUCGAUCUUAGAAGAGUAGUGUAAUUGGAUCCUUGAAGAAUCAAAGGGCUUGACACCCAAGAAAGAAAAAAAAGAGCUUGAGAAAUUUGAGUACCAUACAUUGAACAUGAAUUAAUUGACCAACAUUUGUAUAGCAUGCAUUGAAAUUUAUAUGCAUUUGCACAGCAUACACUACUUUCAGGAAAGUAUAGUGUAUAAAUUCAAGAAGCAGGGGUGUUUCAACAUCCCACAUAGAGAGGACAGAUAUGAAGAUAUUUUACAGAAUUAAAAAAGAAAAGCUUGUCAAGUAAGUUCCUAAUCCUUGAAAUAGGAUGUCUUUUGGUAUCAGGGUUGAUUUAUAAGACCUUUGGGCAUAAUCUCCUGAAAUUCCUUCAAACACAACUUUCAACUCCUUUGGACAUGAUUGUCAGGGAGCAAUUUACUUUUCAAAAGUCAUGGUGCCACUGUUGAGAGGAGCAAUUUACUUUCCAAAAGUCAUGGUGCCUCUGUUUAGAGGAGCAAUUUACUUUUCCAAAGUUCCGUUGCCUCUAUUUAGAGGAGCAAUUUACUUUUUCAAAGUCGUGGUGCCUCUGUUUAGAGGAGCAAUUUAUUUUCAAAGUCGUGGUGCCUCUAUUUAGAAGAGCAAUUUACAUUCCAAAGCCGUGGUGCCUCUGUUUAGAGGAGCAAUUUACCUUUCCAAAGUUUCGUUGCCUCUAUUUAGAGGAGCAAUUUACUUUUCAAAGUCGUGGUGCCUCUGUUUAGAGGAGCAAUUUACUUUUCAAAAGUCGUGGUGCCUCUGUUUAGAGGAGCAAUUUAUGUUUCUCAAAGUCGUUGAGCCUCUGUUUAGAGGAGCUUCGGUAAAAAAAAAAACAAAAAAAUAAAAAAACAAAAAAAUAAAAAACAAAAAAAACAAAACCAAAAAAAAAACAAAAAAAUAAAAAAACAAAAAAAAAAGACAAUGUUGAGUUGAGUCUUGAUUGGGUGUCUACGUCUUUGCGCAAUUUCUGUUUCACAAAAAAUGUGCAAAGAGGGGCAGCUGUAGACACCUAAUUUGGUCCAGGCCCGGAUCAAUUGGGCCUGGCCCAAAUAGGUAGGUGUAGACACCCAAUUUGAUCCAGGCCCGGAUCAAUUGGGCUUGGUCCAAAUGGGUAGGUUCAAUUUUAUCUUUGUCAUUUUUAUUUUUAUUUUAUUUUAUUUUAUAUUUUAUGUAUAUCCUAUGUAUUUUAUUAUUUAUGUAUUAUUACUAAUAUAUAUAUAUUUAUUAUUUUUUAUCUUUUAUUUUAUUUAUUUUUGUAUUUUUAUUUAUCUAAUUAUAUAUAUGAUAUUAUUUUUUUUAUUUAUCCUAUAAUAAUUUUUUAUUUAUCUUUUCUAAUUAUCUAGUUUUUUUUUACUUGAUUUUUGGAGGGCUGAGAUUGAAGGGUGAAGAAUCCUACUGGGAAUGGGGAUUCAAUCAAAAGAGUCUAAUUGGAUUCAAAAAUUGAAUCUCCGUCCAAGGAGGAAUUGAGAUUGAUCAGGAACUCUUGAUCAAUCCCUAUAAAAGGGACCUUCUAGAACAGAUGCUGGACACAGAGAAAACAGUGAGCAAAGCUACUGAAUCUGAGAGAAAAGAGAUGUAUAGAAGAGUUUUCGAAGGUUAAAAAAGGUUGAGAUGAGUUAGGAUAGCUGUAGGGAUCGGAAAUAAUUUUUUAGAAAUUUUUGGCGAAAUUUUUUUUUGGAAAUUUCUGGGAAAUUUCCAGAUUCUGGCAAAAAUUUCGGUAACAUUUGAAUUUUUCGGCAAUAAUUUCGGUGAACCUUGAAGUUUUUGGUGACCUACCCAGUUCCCGGUGAACAAUCCCAGAAAUCGGUGAUCUUUCGAUAAACUUCCGACGAACCUCCGACGAAUUUUUCAGAUUCCAGUGACUUUUUCCAGAAUUCGACAAAAAUUCGAUCGGUGUUCUUCAGGCCCUUUAGAGAGAGAGGAGAGGAAAAAAGAAGAAGAGAGAGAGAGGGGAGGCGUGUUCUGUCGAAAAACAGAGGGAAGUGCCUUUUAUACCUUCUCAAAACGACGUCUUUUUGGCCUUAAGUAACUAGAGGAUCCGCGCGUUUUGCCGAAACCCGACCCGACCCGAGCCAAGCCGAGUCGAGCCGAGCUUCCCAAGCAACCCCUCGAGCCAUUUUUUCUUCCUUGAGCCGAGCCGCUCAAGGUUUAUUUUUUUUUUUGAAAAUUUUUUUUAUUUUCAUUUAUUUGUUUAUUUUUUUUCUAUUUUUUUAUUUAUUAGAUUAGAUUUAUUAAAUAUUUUUUAUCUUUAUCUUAUUUUUAUUUUUGUUUCACUUUUCUUUAUUUUUUUUCUUCUUUAUUUACUUUUACUUUUCUUUGUUUUAUAUUCUUUAAAUAAAAAUAAAAAAAAUAUUUUUGAGGAAAAGUUGAAAGUAUCAAUUUUCCUUGGAAAUCAAAGUUUAAAAAAAAUUAUCUUUGAGGAAAAGUUGAAAGUAUCAAUUUUUCUUAGAAAUAAAUUUCAAAAAAAUAUUUUUGGGGAAAAGUUGAAAGUAUCAAUUUUCCUUAAAAAUAAAUUUUCAAAAAAAAAUUUUUGAGGAAAAGUUGAAAGUAUCAAUUUUUCUUGGAAAUCAAAGUUUCAAAAAAAAAUAUUUUUGAGGAAAAGUUGAAAGUAUCAAUUUUCCUUAAAAAAUAAAUUUCAAAAAAAUAAUUUUUGGGGAAAAGUUGAAAGUAUCAAUUUUUCCUACACAAGAACAAUCAUCAUUUCCUUCCUUUCUAUUUUGAUUUUGAUUUUCAUUUUUUCUUAAUUAAUCCGACGACGGAGCUUCUACAAGUGAAACAGUAGUUUUUCUUGCAUACUCUUGAGGUGGGAGAAUUUUCUUAAUUUUUUGCUAAAAGUAUUAGAGUCAAUUGAGAAUAAUUUCGAAUAAUUAAUUACUUGAUAAAAUUUUAAGGCUUAUUGGAUAACACAAAAUUAUGCUGCUACCAUCUUUUGAUGGGCGUUGUAAGGGUGCUAUAACUUUUCUCAUACGUAACCGAACUCCCGAACCCUAUUCUGGUUAGUAGACCCGAACCUAUUCUUUUAGGGACCCUUAAGCUUAGGUGUUCCCUGAAAGGACAGAUUCUUAAGGUGGCCAAUCGCACCUAGAUAAAAAAGAUUGGUGGCGACUCCUUAAAGUCAAUGUCUAGCGAUAGAUCCCCGGAUCUAGACGUUAUGACAGUAAAUUCUUAAGAAAUCUCUAGGUGAAAAAUUUCUUUAAAUUUAUCCCAAAUGAUAGAAGAAUUUAAAUAAAAUUUUAAUAAAAAAUAAUUAUCAUAUUAUUUUCCUUUUGAAGACAAAAAAAAUAAAAAAAAUAUUUCUAAAUUGACCCAAAUUGUGAAAAAUUUAGAAAUCUAAUAAAUAAAUAAAAUUUAUAAAUAGGCCCAAAUGGUGAAAAUUUUAGGAAUUUAAAAAUAGAAAAUAUUUUUAAUUUGGCUCAAAUGGUGAAAUAAUUAGAUAUAUUUUCUACAAAAAAAAUAAUUAAACUUUUUUUUAGAUGACGGAGCCUCUUCAAUGAAACAAAUGGAAUCCUUGAAUACUCUGGAGGUAAGAAAAUAUUUUUAAGAACUCUAUCAAAUUGAUGGAAGAAUCUUAUAAAUUAUUUUUCAUAUUUAACAUAAAAAUUUUAAACCAUUAGACUCAAGUCCUUAGGAUAAAUUUGAAAUAAUAUGGUACCAUCCUUCGGAUGGACAUGUGAGAGUGUCAUAAUUUUUUUCAUAUGUAACUGAACUUCAGAACCCUGUUCUGAUUUGUAGAUCCGAACUUAUUCUUUUAGAGACCCUUCAUCAAGCUUAUAAGCUCCUUAAGAUGAUAGAUUCCUUAGGUGACCAAUCACACUUAGAUAAAAAAAUUGGUGUUGACUCCAUUUGUUAAAUCUAGCUAUAGAUUUACAAAUCUAUAUGUUAUGACAUAUUACAAAGUACAAAGCUAUAGAAAAUAUUUAUUUUUCUAUUUUGUAGGUACUAUUUUAUGAGCUUUUUUUCUUUCUAUUGACUAUUCACUCAAUUAGGUAAUAUUUUUUUUUAUCUUAAUUCAGCUUUCUUGCAAUAUGUAAAAACAUAUUCAUUAAUAGUCUACUUGAUUACAUUAAUUUGAAUAUACCAUUUAUAUUGAAAUAUUGUUACAAAUAAUAAGAACUAAUUGGAUUUUGAAAUCAUAUAUAUAUAUAUAUAAUAUAAUCAGCCCAUCAAUUAUGAUUUUGUAUAAAAAUUUGUAAUUUGCUAUACUUCUUCCUUGUCGAAGUCAUAACACUAUUUUUAUUUAUAAAAAAAGUUAGGAUAAAUUGAAAUCCAAUUUGAUUUCAUUCUUUUAUAUUUUUUAAAUCAAAUUUCAUUUAAUAUGUACUUGAUAUUUUCUUAAACAUAAUUUAAAAAAAUUUUGAAUUUAAAAAAUUAAGAAGUGUCUAUGAAUUUGGUGGUAUCUAGUUGUAAACAUUUUUAAAUUUUAGAUUUUCUUUUAAGUUUGAAUCAUAUCACCUAUUUAAUUUAUAUUUAUUAUUAAAAUGUUAAAAUUUUAUAAUAUUAAAUAUAUUUUAAAUUUAAAAUUAAAUAAUUUUUUAAUAUAAUAAUAUUUUGAAUCCAUACUUAAAAAGUUAUGCAUGUAAUCAGAAAUCUGACCCAUAAUCCAACUAACAAAUAUGUUUACUUCCUAAUAAAGUUAAAAAAAUUAUGUUUAAUUACGGUCCAUUUUUGUUUUUUUUUUUUCAAUUUCCUUUGUUUGAAUUUUGAAAAAUAUUUAUUAAUCAAACAUGAAUAUGAAUAUAAAAAUACGUAUUUUCUUAAUUUAUUUUAAUUAGUUUAACUGAACAAGAUUUAUUUAACUAACUUUCUAAGAUUUAAUUGAUAUAAAAUUAUAUAUUUUUCAUAUGAUAAAUAAUAUUAUCAUACUUAAAGUGUAUGAGAUUAUUUGGCAAGAGAAAAACAAUUGAAAUUAAAAAAAUAAUUUGUGAUUUUUGAAAUAAAAUUAUAAUUAAUCAUGAUUUAUAGGAUUCUUUUCAUUGUAUUUUAACUAUAAAUUAAUUUCAAGCAUAAAUAAUUAGAUAUAUAUGAUUUUGUCUUUCUUUUAAAUUUUAAAAAUUUGAAUAGCUAAUAAUUUUUUAAAUAUAUUUGUUUGAAAAAUAACAUAAAAUUAAAAAUUAUCUUACGCAUCAUUAUGAAAAUAAAUUAUUUUACACAAAUUAUUUUUGUUUAUCUUAUUAAAUAAAUAACAAAUAACUAGAUUAAAUGAUAAAUAAUUUUUAACUUGUUACAUCACAAACUAAAUUUCUUAAAAAAAUGAUUUCAAUUACAAUUAAAAAAUAAUUGAUUAAAAAAUAAUUGAAAGUAAAUUAAUAAAACAAGAUAAUUCGUAACAAACUAGUUAUAAUAUAAAAUAAUAAUAAUUAUUGUUGUUAGGUAUAAGUUAUGGUAAGGUGAAAUGUGCCCACCAUCAACGCCAGCACAUGCAGGGCAGGAUUGGUGAGUCAGCAAUGAAAUGCAAAAGUAACCCCUCAUAAUAACGACAAUCCUCCGAUCAUUUGAAAUUCUAUUUCUACGGGCGUACUACAUGUGUUCUGUACUUGUGGGGUUAGUGCACGAAACUACACUCCUAGGCUUAAAUUAUAAGGCUGAAGAGUGUGUCCUUCACCCCACUUGCCUUUAGGUCUGUUUCACUUUGUGAUUAUAAUUCUUCAUUUGAUCUCUCUUGCUUUGCUUCUCUCUUUUCAGUUCAGAUCAAGGGUUUUCUGGUCCUAGCAAUGGCGGAGAAGGUUCCUAACUAGAUAUCUCUUUUCUCUAUAGUUUCGUUCAGUACUAAACAUCUAACACCCAAUUCUUCCUUUUUUUUUUUAUUGUUUUUCUCCUUGUCCAUGUUUACCUGUAUUGUAUAUUUUUAUAAAAAGUUAUUGUUAUUUUUCGAUUCUGUGGUUCUUUCUUUUCUGUGCUCUUCAAUAACUUAUCUGCCCAUUCUUCCAUGUCCGAACCUGAGUCUUGUAUUGCCCUUUCGCUUGUCUCUAAAGCAGAAAAAUGCUUUGGUUGCUAAUGGUGAUAUAUGGAAUUAAUUACUACGAUCUCUUUCAUCAUACAUACUUAAUUACUUGUAGUACUAUAUUUUUACUUUUUGUUUUAUCCUCAAAUAAGAAACCCGCCCUGAUGUGUGUACGGAUGUAGGUGACGACAAUGGUACUGAAGGUCGACCUGCAGUGCUGUCGCUGCAACAAGAAGGUCAAGAAAGUACUCUGUAAAUUCCCUCGUGAGUUUCUAUCUUGAAUUUUUAUGCUUAAUUCUCUUUGUAUAUCUGCAUAUGUGCAUAAUUAUUUUAUUUAUAUAAAUAAAUCUUAUUUGUCAUUUUAUCUAUAUAUACUUAGUAAUGAGUUAGAACAUAGUUAGUUAGUUAGUUAGGUGAUCAUCGAGCUCAAGGAGAGAAAUGGUCUAAGUUGAUAUUUGAUGAUGGCUUUUGUGAACAAAAGAAAUACGAGACCAGAUAUACGACGAGAAGGCCAACACGGUGACAAUCACGGUGGUAUGCUGCUCUCCGGAGAAGAUCAGGGACAAGAUAUGCUGCAAGGGUGGCGGAUCCAUCAAGAGUAUUGAGAUCAAACCACCUCCACCACCUCCAAAACCCAAGGAGCCUGAGAAGAAACCUGAAAAGGCUAAUGAACAGGAGAAGAAAAAACCUGAACCUGAAAAGCCCAAGGAGCCUGAGAAGAAACCUGAAAAGCCUAAAGAACCUGAAAAGAAACCUGAGAAGCCUAAAGAGCCCGAAAAGAAGCCGGAGAAACCAAAAGAACAGGAAAAAUCACCUCCAAUGGCCUAUCCGCCAAUUGGAUUUUGUUGCACGGAUUGUUAUCAUGGACAUGGUGGGGGCCCUUGCCACUUUGGUGGACCAACCCCACGGCCAUGUUAUGUGACCUAUGGUAGGCCGGUUUAUGAUAGCUGGGGCUGCCGCGGCGCCGGCUACAAUUACUGUUUUACCGAAGAAAACCCACAAGGUUGCUCAACCAUGUA